rfam:Sindbis virus strain MRE16 5'TTR, nonstructural polyprotein 123 and nonstructural polyprotein 1234 genes, complete cds.
AUUGGCGGCGUAGUACACACUAUAAAGAAUCAAGCCGACCAAUUGCACUACCAUCAUCAUGGAGAAACCUGUAGUUAACGUUGACGUAGACCCUCAGAGUCCGUUCAUUACGCAACUGCAGAAGAGUUUCCCGCAGUUUGAGGUAGUAGCACAGCAGGCCACACCAAAUGACCAUGCAAAUGCCAGAGCUUUUUCGCAUCUGGCCAGCAAACUGAUCGAGCUGGAGGUCCCGACCACAGCGACGAUCUUGGACAUCGGCAGCGCACCUGCUCGUAGAAU